rnacentral:rRNA from 1 species
GAAAGGGAGAGUAACGCGUGGGUAACCUACCCUCGGGACCGGGGUAGCGGCGGGAAACUGCCGGUAAUACCGGAUAACGUCCCAGGACCAAAUGGUGUGAUUCCGCCUGGGGAUGGGCCCGCGUCCUAUUAGCUUGUUGGUGGGGUAAUGGCCUACCAAGGCGAAGAUGGGUACCGGGUGUGAGAGCAUGACCCGGCUCACUGGGACUGAGACACUGCCCAGACACCUACGGGUGGCUGCAGUCGAGAAUCUUCGGCAAUGGGCGCAAGCCUGACCGAGCGACGCCGCGUGCGGGAUGAAGGCCUUCGGGUUGUAAACCGCUGUCAGAGGGGAGGAAAUGCAAGGGGGUUCUCUCCUUUGUUUGACCGAUCCUCAAAGGAAGUACGGGCUAAGUUCGUGCCAGCAGCCGCGGUAACACGAACCGUACGAACGUUAUUCGGAAUUACUGGGCUUAAAGCGUGCGUAGGCGGCUUGGCAAGUUGGGUGUGAAAUCCCUCGGCUCAACCGAGGAACUGCGCUCAAAACUGUCAGGCUUGAGGGAGAUAGAGGUGANCGGANCUGAUGGUGGANCGGUGAAAUGCGUUGAUAUCAUCAGGAACAC